CCUACGGGAGGCAGCAGUGGGGAAUUUUGGACAAUGGGCGCAAGCCUGAUCCAGCCAUGCCGCGUGCGGGAAGAAGGCCUUCGGGUUGUAAACCGCUUUUGUCAGGGAAGAAAAGGUCUGGGCUAAUAACCUGGGCUGAUGACGGUACCUGAAGAAUAAGCACCGGCUAACUACGUGCCAGCAGCCGCGGUAAUACGUAGGGUGCAAGCGUUAAUCGGAAUUACUGGGCGUAAAGCGUGCGCAGGCGGUUCCAUAAGACAGAUGUGAAAUCCCCGGGCUCAACCUGGGAACUGCAUUUGUGACUGUGGAGCUAGAGUACGGUAGAGGGGGGAUGGAAUUCCGCGUGUAGCAGUGAAAUGCGUAGAUAUGCGGAGGAACACCGAUGGCGAAGGCAAUCCCCUGGACCUGUACUGACGCUCAUGCACGAAAGCGUGGGGAGCAAACAGGAUUAGAUACCCUGGUAGUCCACGCCCUAAACCGAUGUCAACUGGUUGUUGGGAAGGUUCCUUCUCAGUAACGUAGCUAACGCGUGAAGUUGACCGCCUGGGGAGUACGGCCGCAAGGUUGAAACGUCAAAGGAUUGACGG
rnacentral:rRNA from 1 species